rnacentral:lncRNA from 1 species
AUGGGGAAGAGAAAUGGAAGAGAAGGUGCCCAAAUGAGAAGGACAUGGACUGAAUACAAAGCUCCAAAUUUGGAAAACAACAGUAAAACUCCACAGGUAAGAAAUAAUGUCAAUCAUGAUUCAUUCCAUUUACCUGGUUGGACACUUUGGAUGGCUUAUCUCAGCAGGUUUCUAUUCAAAAAACGUCUGUUACUUUUUCCAAAUCCCUAUAAUGAAGCUAGCAUUCAGUUGCAACUCCCUGAAAAACCCACGAUUAUUAAAACCACAAGCAUGUACCUCCUCCACUUUCCAUUUAUUUUGGAAAUAUAGUUAGCAUGAAACAUUUUCUAAGCGCCUACUACAUAGUUCACAUGUUUUCUCAUUGAAUCCCUAUUUUACAAAGAGGGGAACUGGUACUCAGAGGGGUCAAGUAUUUUCCCCAAGGUCCAUAAGUAGUACAUAGAAGAGCAGGACUUGUAAAGGAGGUGGACCUUUGUCACGUUCAAACUCUCAGAAGGACCGUAGUCCUUUCCAUUCAUUAGGUUCUCAAUGAAUGAUGCUGAAGUAAGCUAACCUAGCUUCAAAAACUUCUAUAUUCUAUAUUCUUUCAGAAAGAAGUAACAUGUCAUUCAAAUAUUUUGGAGCAUCUACAAAACUUUUAUUUGCAUGGCUUCAAAUAAUAUUGACUGGAUUUGUACAUGCUAAGUUGUCAUUUCAAUAUUGGAUUUAAGUUCCAGCAUUACUGAUAUUCUUUAAAACAUCUAGCUAUUUGCAUUUGUGCAAGACCACAUCUGGGUACUUCGUUCUGCGUCCAUCAAAAUGGGUUAAUGGUGGGUUCGAGGAUAGAAAUUUCUCCUUAUUCAUUUUUUAUAAUUAUAUAAAUCAAUGAUAUUUAUUGAGUUUAUAGAGUUGUGCAACUGUCACCAUGAUCCAGUUAUAGAAAUUUCCGUCACUCUGAAAAUUUCUCUUGAGCUCAUUUGCUGUUAUUAUUAUGGGAUAUAACAUAUUAUGGAUUAUUAUGGAAUGAUAAUAACCAUUGAUCUGCUUUCUGUCUCUAUAAAGUUACCUUUUUUAGACAUUUCAUAUAAUUGAAAUCCUACGAUAAGUAGUCUUUGGCAUUGGGCUUCUGUCACUUAGUAUAAGAUUUUUAAAGUUCAUACAUGUUGUAGCAUGUAUCAAUAUUUCAUUUGUUUAUAUUACUGAAUAGCUGAUUGUAUGGAUAUAUACUAUAUUUUGUCAUAUUAUCCCUUUAGCGUUUGAUGCAUAUUUGGAUAGUUUAGUUUUUGGCCAUUACAAAAAAUGCUUCUAUGAAUAUUUGUGUAUAAAUCAC